rnacentral:rRNA from 1 species
AUUGAACGCUGGCGGCAGGCCUAACACAUGCAAGUCGAGCGGUAGCACAGGAGAGCUUGCUCUCUGGGUGACGAGCGGCGGACGGGUGAGUAAUGUCUGGGAAACUGCCUGAUGGAGGGGGAUAACUACUGGAAACGGUAGCUAAUACCGCAUAACGUCUUCGGACCAAAGAGGGGGACCUUCGGGCCUCUUGCCAUCAGAUGUGCCCAGAUGGGAUUAGCUAGUAGGUGAGGUAAUGGCUCACCUAGGCGACGAUCCCUAGCUGGUCUGAGAGGAUGACCAGCCACACUGGAACUGAGACACGGUCCAGACUCCUACGGGUGGCAG